UACGAAGGGGGGCUAGCGUUGCUCGGAAUCACUGGGCGUAAAGGGUGCGUAGGCGGGUCUUUUAAGUCAGGGGUGAAAUCCUGGAGCUCAACUCCAGAACUGCCUUUGAUACUGAGGACCUUGAGUUCGGGAGAGGUGAGUGGAACUGCGAGUGUAGAGGUGAAAUUCGUAGAUAUUCGCAAGAACACCAGUGGCGAAGGCGGCUCACUGGCC
rnacentral:rRNA from 1 species